rnacentral:rRNA from 1 species
UAGAUACCCUAUUAUAUAGGGGCCUAAGAAUUCUAAGGUAGUAGUUGCCAUGAUCUUGAAACCUAAAGAAUUUGGCGGUUCUUAGUAUAAUCAGAGGGACCUGUUGUAGAAUCGAUAAUCCACGCUAGAUCUUACUUUCACAAAGCUUGUAUACCGUCAUCAAAUCUCCCCCUUUAAGGAAGAGAGGUACUUAAUCAUAUGCUUAGAGAAUCAAGUUAGAUCAAGGUGCAGCUUUUGAAAGAACUAAUGGGUCACAAUUUGGAAACUAUUGGAAGCUAAAUCAAAAGAAGCCUAAAUUGGAUUUGAAAGUAAUCUUGGUUUAAGAAGCCAAGGUGAGUUUUUCCUGAGAAUGUACACAUCGCC